rnacentral:rRNA from 1 species
GAUGAACGCUGGCGGCGGGCUUAACACAUGCAAGUCGAACGGGAAUUAUGUUAUUGAAACUUCGGUCGAUUUACUUUAAUUCUAGUGGCGGACGGGUGAGUAACGCGUGGGUAACCUGCCUUAUACAGGGGGAUAACAGUCAGAAAUGGCUGCUAAUACCGCAUAAGCGCACAGAGCUGCAUGUCUCAGCGUGAAAAACUCCGGUGGCAUAAGAUGGACCCGCGUUGCGAUAGCGUGUUGGCAGGGUAACGGCCUACCAAGGAGACGAUCCAUAGCUGGACUGAGAGGGCGGACCGGCACACUAGGAGAGAGACAAGGGCCGAACACCUACCGAAGGGAGCAGUGGUGAAUCAUGCACACUGGGUGAAAGCCUGAGGCAGCGACGCUGCGAGAAGGAAUAAGUAGGUAAGAAUGUAAACAGCUAAAAGCAGGGAAGAUCGGGACGGUACCAGACUAAGAGGCCCCGGUUAACUAGGU